UACGUAGGGCGCAAGCGUUGUCCGGAAUUAUUGGGCGUAAAGAGCUCGUAGGUGGUUUGUUACGUCUGCUGUGAAAACCUAGGGCUUAACCCUGGGCCUGCAGUGGAUACGGGCAGACUAGAGGUAGGUAGGGGAGAAUGGAGUUCCCGGUGUAGCGGUGAAAUGCGCAGAUAUCGGGAGGAACACCGGUGGCGAAGGCGGUUCUCUGGGCCUUACCUGACACUGAGGAGCGAAAGCGUGGGGAGCGAACAGG
rnacentral:rRNA from 1 species